rnacentral:rRNA from 1 species
GGGUCCCUACGGGAGGCAGCAGUGGGGAAUAUUGCACAAUGGGGGGAACCCUGAUGCAGCGACGCCGCGUGGGUGAAGGAGCACCUCGGUGCGUAAAGCCCUAUCGGCAGGGAAGAAAAGCGAACAGGUUCGCCUGGACGGUACCUGACUAAGAAGCCCCGGCUAACUACGUGCCAGCAGCCGCGGUAAUAAGAAGGGGGCAAGCGUUAUCCGGAUUCACUGGGGGUAAAGGGAACGGAGACGGCGACGCAAGUCUGGCGU